rnacentral:pre_miRNA from 1 species
UAGCAGCACAUAGAUAUUGGCGCUCUCAGUCCUGCCAGUGUCCUUGUGCUGCCCCA